rnacentral:rRNA from 1 species
CGAGAGAACUGUGGUUAAGGAACUCGGCAAAAUGCCCCCGUAACUUCGGGAGAAGGGGGACCAGUCCUGGUGACGACAUUUACUGUCUGAGCUGGGGUUGGUCGCAGAGACCAGAGAGAAGCGACUGUUUACUAAAAACACAGGUCCGUGCGAAGUCGUAAGACGAUGUAUACGGACUGACGCCUGCCCGGUGCUGGAAGGUUAAGAGGACCGGUCAGCCGCUUCGGUGGCGAAGCUGAGAAUUUAAGCCCCAGUAAACGGCGGUGGUAACUAUAACCAUCCUAAGGUAGCGAAAUUCCUUGUCGGGUAAGUUCCGACCUGCACGAAUGGCGUAACGACUUCUCUGCUGUCUCAACCACAGACUCGGCGAAAUUGCAGUACAAGUAAAGAUGCUCGUUACGCGCGGCAGGACGAAAAGACCCCGGGACCUUCACUAUAGCUUGGUAUUGGUGUUCGGUUCGGUUUGUGUAGGAUAGGUGGGAGACUGUGAAACUCGCACGCCAGUGUGGGUGGAGUCAUUGUUGAAAUACCACUCUGACCGUAUUGGACAUCUAACCUCGGACCAUGAUCUGGUUCAGGGACAGUGCCUGGUGGGUAGUUUAACUGGGGCGGUUGCCUCCCAAAAAGUAACGGAGGCGCCCAAAGGUUCCCUCAGCCUGGUUGGCAAUCAGGUGUUGAGUGUAAGUGCACAAGGGAGCUUGACUGUGAGACGUACAUGUCGAGCAGGGACGAAAGUCGGGACUAGUGAUCCGGCACCGGCAAGUGGAAGCGGUGUCGCUCAACGGAUAAAAGGUACCCCGGGGAUAACAGGCUGAUCUUCCCCAAGAGUCCAUAUCGACGGGAUGGUUUGGCAUCUCGAUGUCGGCUCGUCGCAUCCUGGGGCUGGAGUAGGUCCCAAGGGUUGGGCUGUUCGCCCAUUAAAGCGGCACGCGAGCUGGGUUUAGAACGUCGUGAGACAGUUCGGUCUCUAUCCGCCGCGCGCGUAAGAAACUUGAGGAAACCUGUCCCUAGUACGAGAGGACCGGGACGGACGAACCUCUGGUGAGCCAGUUGUUCCACCAGGAGCACCGCUGGUUAGCUACGUUCGGAAGGGAUAACCGCUGAAAGCAUCUAAGCGGGAAGCCUGUUCCAAGAUGAGGUUUCUCACCACCUAGCGUGGUUAAGGCCCCCCACAGACCAUGGGGUUGAUAGGCCAGAACUGUAAGCACAGCAAUGUGUUCAGGUGACUGGUACUAAUCGGCCGAGGACUUGC